rnacentral:rRNA from 1 species
UACGGAGGGGGCUAGCGUUGUUCGGAAUUACUGGGCGUAAAGCGCACGUAGGCGGCUUUACAAGUCAGGGGUGAAAGCCCGCGGCUCAACCGCGGAAUUGCCCUUGAGACUAUAUCGCUUGAACACGGGAGAGGUGAGUGGAAUUCCGAGUGUAGAGGUGAAAUUCGUAGAUAUUCGGAAGAACACCAGUGGCGAAGGCGGCUCACUGGACCGUAGUUGACGCUGAGGUGCGAAAGCGUGGGGAGCAAACAGG